rnacentral:lncRNA from 1 species
UGCUCAACUAGGACCAGACAAAGCCAAAUCCACAGGCCCUCUCCGAAACAGGGUCCGUGGCAGGAAAAGAGACCCAUCCAAAUCUAUGGGUAACGUGCUCUCUCUGCAGACUUCUGGGAGCAGAUGCUGAAGAGACUCUUUCAAUAGAGAAGAUGUUUUCUUUUGUAAAGACAGACUAAAAGCAAAGGCCAUGUUUAUUUUUGCUCCUAGCCCUAUCCCAUGUGUAAUGCCAACUAUGUAUAGUAUUUAAAAGAACCCUCCCCACAAGGCUCAACUUUUCUCUAUGUACUGUAAAAUAGAAUUUUGAGGAGAUUUUUAUACACACACCCCCCCAAACACACACUCACACCAUUGGCUACAAAGAUAAGAGUUGAUUGAAACAGUAAGUAAAAGGCUAGUAUCCAGGAGUUCAGUGACUUCAAGGAAGGAAGGAAAGAUGGAGGGAAUGAGGGAGAUAAGCAGGAAGGAGGAAAGAUGAUAGAAUGGAAGGAAGGAAGGAAGGAAGGAAGGAAGGAAGGAAGGAAGGAAGGAAGGAAAAUGUAGAAAACAUUAGGGAGCACAUUUUAAGGUUUCCACAGUUGUGCUCUAAUAUGGCCACUCAUCUGCCACAGCUCCGAGAAUGAAAAUAUAUGGCUCAAAAACAAAAUGAAAUGAAGUCAUGGGGGAUAUAGUUAGCAAGUUCCUGAUCUUUCCCAGCUAAAAGGAUAAAAGAGAGAGGCGGGAAAGUAGAAAAGAAAGUAGAAAGGAAGAGUCGGCACGAGGAUGCUUCUGGCUGGAUAAUAAUAUUUGCAGGCAAUGCACCCAAGGAGACACAGUUCUCAUGACAAGGACACAUAUGAACCUUUGUAUGUCAAGGUCUGAGCAAAGCACAGUGAACAUGCAGAGCACGUAUGACAGCCACUCUGUAAGAUUCAAGAAAGGUUCAUCUCUCAUGAUCUGUCAGAUACGCAUUGUAUGCUAAUUUGUUCAGCCUUUUGAAAGCCAUGCAUGCAUAUGUACAUAUUUUAAUCCCAUAAUUGACAAACUUGAUCUACCGCACUGAGCUCAGAGUCCUACGUCUGUCGUACAUGUAACAACAGCUUUAACCGGGUACUCUCUGUGCAUUGUAGAAUAGAUUUAAUAAUUAUGUAGCAUGUACAUUUUUAUUUUGUACUCGUGACUUCAUUGUGACUGUGGUGAUGACAGCCCUUGGUGUGCUGUCUGUAUUGCUGUGUUCUAUCCCUUCCCAGCCUUCUAAGUUCCUAGGCCAAUAUACAUUCAGAGUUUC